UACGUAGGGUGCGAGCGUUAAUCGGAAUUACUGGGCGUAAAGCGUGCGCAGGCGGUCUGUUAAGACCGAUGUGAAAUCCCCGGGCUUAACCUGGGAACUGCAUUGGUGACUGGCAGGCUUUGAGUGUGGCAGAGGGGGGUAGAAUUCCACGUGUAGCAGUGAAAUGCGUAGAGAUGUGGAGGAAUACCGAUGGCGAAGGCAGCCCCCUGGGCCAACCACGUGACGCUCAUGCACGAAAGCGUGGGGAGCAAACAGG
rnacentral:rRNA from 1 species